rnacentral:rRNA from 1 species
AGAGUUUGAUCCUGGCUCAGGACGAACAUUGGCGGCGCGCCUAAUGCAUGCAAGUCGAGCGAACUCGUUUUCUUCGGAAAGCACAUAGUUAGCGGCGAACGGCUGAGUAACGCGUAAGUAACCUGCCUCGAAGAGGGGAAAAACUAUGAGAAAUCAUAGCUAAUUCCGCGUAAUGUCAGUUAAUUAAUUUAACUGAAGAAAGAUUUAUCGCUUUGAGAUGGGCUUGCGUCCUAUCAGGUAGUUGGUAAGGUAAUUGCUUACCAAGCCUAAGACGGGUAGCUGGAGUGAGAGCUUGACCAGCCAGAGGGGGACUGAGACACGGCCCCCACUCCUACGGGAGGCAGCAGCAGGGAAUCUUGCACAAUGGGCGAAAGCCUGAUGCAGCGACGCCGCGUGAGGGAUGAAGGUUCUAGGAUCGUAAACCUCUUUUCUUAGGGAAUAGUUUGGAAGGUACCUAAGGAAUAAGUCACGGCUAACUACGUGCCAGCAGCCGCGGUAAUACGUAGGUGGCAAAUGUUGUCCGGAAUCAUUGGGCGUAAAGGGUCCGUAGGUGGCUUGAAAAGUCUUAUGUGAAAUCUCUUGGCUCAACCAAGAAACGCCAUAAGAAACUUUCAUGCUAGAGAUCAUCAGAGGGAGGUAGAAUUCCAGGUGUAGUGGUGAAAUGCGUAGAUAUCUGGAGGAAUACCAAUGGCGAAAGCAGCCUCCUGGGGUGAAUCUGACAUUGAGGGACGAAAGCGUGGGUAGCAAACCGGAUUAGAUACCCGGGUAGUCCAUGCCGUAAACGAUGAAUACUGGGUCUUCGGGGAAUCGACCCCCUGUGGACCGAAGCUAACGCGUUAAGUAUUCCGCCUGGGGAGUACGGUCGCAAGACUAAAACUCAAAGGAAUUGAC